CCUACGGGAGGCAGCAGUGAGGAAUAUUGGUCAAUGGACGGAAGUCUGAACCAGCCAUGCCGCGUGCAGGAAGACGGCUCUAUGAGUUGUAAACUGCUUUUGUACAAGGGUAAACCUGAAUACGUGUAUUCAGCUGAAAGUACUGUACGAAUAAGGAUCGGCUAACUCCGUGCCAGCAGCCGCGGUAAUACGGAGGAUCCAAGCGUUAUCCGGAUUUAUUGGGUUUAAAGGGUGAGUAGGCGGAUUUGUAAGUUAGAGGUGAAAUGUACGAGCUUAACUCAGGAACUGCCUCUAAUACUGUUGGUCUAGAGAGUAGAUGCGGUAGGCGGAAUGUAUGGUGUAGCGGUGAAAUGCUUAGAGAUCAUACAGAACACCGAUUGCGAAGGCAGCUUACCAAUCUAUAUCUGACGUUGAGGCACGAAAGCGUGGGGAGCAAACAGGAUUAGAUACCCGAGUAGUC
rnacentral:rRNA from 1 species